GAGGCUCAGGACCUCUGUCCUGAGAUCACAAGCUGUGAGAAGAACGUGCACCUGGAAGGUUUACUGUCUUUGCUGCCAAGAAGAGAGAACCUUCCAAGAAUGAAGGUGUCCCAGAGUUAAGUAUGGGGGACAGAGAGAGAUAAUGUAUCGAGAUGUAUUUCUGUAUUUCUUAAAAACAUAAUAUGAACCCCUAGCUCCAGCUAUUUCUGACAUAUAUAUAUAUAUAUAAUUUUCAGUAGCAUAAUCAAAUGAAUUCAUUUUUUCCCUUCAAUAAGCUUGAAAUUAGGUUUCCAUCACUCCAAGUAAAAAGCCUCAUGGUUAAUAUACUGACAUAGACUUUUCUGGUGGAUUUGCAUCACAUUUUAAUCCCUGUCUCAUAAUGAGAUGCAAAUGCUAUUUCAUACGAAAGAAAUUUCAAAUACAAAACUGGCAAGGAUGUUUAUUUGGGGGUACACAAGGAUUUUGAUGGGGUUUCUAAAAUUACAUCCAUGGAGAGAUCAGCCUAGUCCCUCCUGUGCUGUUAUUUAACGUAAGAUUGCUAGGUACAAAGUAGAAGGCUUUGAGUACAGCAAAAAGUCUGACUUUCCCUCAAGUAAGAGGGAGCUCCUCCUGCUGGACUGCCUUGAGCUGGGACACGGGUUUUGUCCUGCCCUCUUCCCCCCUGUCUGUAGCAUGGGAGAUUGUCAGCUUCCAUAACCACAUGAACCAAUUCUUUACAAUGGAUUAAGCAAUCUCUUUCUCUCUCCCUUCCUCUCUCUCCCUUCUCCCCCCAUCUCUCCGACCCUGUUUGAGAUGAAUUAAGCUGCUAUAUAACCCACAGAAGAGGAUCAAUAUGCUCCCAGCAUUAUAGCUCGGAGAAGGGUCUCUGCCUUACGUGGAGGAAGAUAAUACCUAUUACACAUUCCUUCAUAUUUUACAGAAGAAGAAAACACGCUUCAGUGGGUCAUGACCACAUUGACCCCCACAAUGCUGAGGCCAGUGCCAGUAUCUCUCAGUCUCCCUGUUUGGAAACAUUUUCAAUAACUGGAGUUUCUGGAAUGAAGAGACUAUGUCCAUUUUGUCCAUGUGUAAUCCUGGACUGAUUAUCUAAGACUCAGAUGCAGGUCUAUCUGACUCCCAGAGAGUUGCAAGGAGACAAAGCUGCUGCUGUUAAGUGGCCUAGAGGCUUUCAGCAGAGUUCUAUCAGCACUGCUCACCUAGCACUUUUCCUUCAACCUAUGCUGGACUACUGAUGACGUGACACCUUGCCUGUGGACUCAAGAUCAAAGAGUCAGGAAAUCACUAAGGAAAUAAAAUGUGGUCAUCAGAAAUUAUUUCUGAUAAU
rnacentral:lncRNA from 12 species